UUAAUCUCCCACUUUCUCAAAUAAAAAUCUUAGCCACCGAAUGCAGAUUAAAAUCGCAGAAAUAAUACAAAUUUGCCACCAGAUCGACCUCAAAAAAUACACAGAAAACCGAAAAUACAUAUUAAGAGCUUUGCUGGUAAAGAGGAAAAAAGUACAGAUUUUUGCGUGUCCCAAGCGAGCCAGACUGUGGAGAAAUGGCCCCAACCAAGCUUACUCUGGACAACGUAACGGCCGUUCUUAAAAGUGUCACAUAUUCGCACCGCGUGGUAGCCGCCGCGCCGGUAAUCCUCUGUUCCUUCGUCCUCCGACGUGUAGUCUCCGCUCUCGCUGCUCCGAUCCUCCUCUUCCACCAGCUGCUUCUUCUCAUCCAUCGGCCCUGGAUUGAUUCUCCCCUCUCUCUACAGGGCUUUUGAGCUUGGAGAUUAUUGAGAAAAUGGUGUCGAAUUCAAUGGAUUAGGGUGGCAGUAUCACAAUGAUGAAAAAAUAGACUUUGUUAAAUUCUGGAACGCUGAGAAUUGUACCGGGAAAGAUGAGC
rnacentral:misc_RNA from 1 species